rnacentral:rRNA from 1 species
GUGUCAGCAGCCGCGGUAAUACGUAGGGGGCAAGCGUUGUCCGGAAUUAUUGGGCGUAAAGCGCGCGCAGGCGGUUGGUUAAGUUUGGUGUUUAAGCCCGAGGCUCAACCUCGGUUCGCAUCGAAAACUGGCCAACUUGAGUGUAGGAGAGGAAAGUGGAAUUCCACGUGUAGCGGUGAAAUGCGUAGAGAUGUGGAGGAACACCAGUGGCGAAGGCGACUUUCUGGCCUAUAACUGACGCUGAGGCGCGAAAGCGUGGGGAGCAAACAGGAUUAGAUACCCUGGUAGUCCACGCCGUAAACGAUGCAUGCUAGGUGUUGGGGAUUCGAUUCCUCGGUGCCGAAGUUAACACAGUAAGCAUGCCGCCUGGGGAGUACGCUCGCAAGAGUGAA